rnacentral:rRNA from 1 species
UACGGGGGGGGCAAGCGUUGUCCGGAUUUAUUGGGCGUAAAGGAGCGUGUAGGCGGCCAUGCAGGUCCGUUGUGAAAACUCGAGGCUCAAACCUCCGAGACGCCGGUGGAAACCGUGUGGCUAGAGUCCGGAAGAGGAGAGUGGAAUUCCGUGGUGUAGGCGGUGAAAUCGCGCAGAUAUCAGGAAGAACACCUAUGGCGAAGGCAGCUCUCUGGGACGGUACUCGACGCUGAGACGCGAAAGCGUGGGGAGCGAACAGG